UGGCAGUUGCAAGUCAUGGUUGCAGGAAUAAGGUUAAUGUAAAAAUGUACCAAGGGUUUCUUUUAAUUUCUACCCUUCCAAAGUUCUGCAACCCUCGCAAUCCAGACGUGUAGAACUUCAAUCAAUCAAUGAAUGUAACUCCAAUUAGUUCUCGAAUCUUGUUUUGAUUUUAUUCUUGACUAAAAAAAAGGGUUGUGACCAAAACUGACUUCUUAUCCGACUUAUCAUUGCCGUUCCAAUGUAUUUGGACACGUCUUCCAAAAUCCAGAUCGCCAAGCGAUUGCGAGUAGCAACAAGUCAACAACAACAUUAGGACUGCACACGGUGGUGAUAACGAAAUAACCAAGACAGCGAAAAUAUGCAUUUCCAUAUUCCCGGCUGUUUACGACGAUGUUCACAAUCUUGUCGUCAGCCAGCAGGACAUGUCGAGCCGCCAAAUCUCCGUGCAACAACUGGGCGAAAAUAAUUCUCAAGGAGAUCACCGAAGAAUUUUUAAGGUGGGAGUUGAUUCCUGGAUCAACACUUUGAUCCGGGCACUUCGCCGAAGAGUUGUUCACACCUCGUGUAAUAGUUCGCAAGGGAUAUCAAACGCAACGGUUUGAAGAGAAGGUAGUUAAGGUCUGGUCAGAGUGGGAAGAAUUUUUUGGGACAAGGUGGGUUUUUUCUGACUCUUGAUGAAACCUCGCGCCGGUAAAACAGACCACAGCAAGUACCACUUAAACUCCAACCUUUUUCGCGCCAGUGAACGUUACUGAACGACAUCUAGUGUCGACCAUUCAUUUAUUUUAACACGAUACCGAAAAUCCUUGCUCCUUGCCCUGCUCAAACGGUCACGAAUCGAAGGGUGAGUCUUUAAUCAUUUGUGUUAUAACAUUUCCUUAUGACUUUCAACUAACUAUCGCAACUUUGACGUAAAAAAAAAUUGACGGUGUGUCUUCUCUCGCCGCUCUGGAAAAUGUGAACUUUAUUUUCCUGAUCCUGAAUUCGUCCGUGAUAGUGUGCCUAUCAUCAUGUUGGAUCGAAGCUGGAAAACAUAUAACGUGGUGUUGCUUGCCGACUGGCUGACAUCGUUCGAAUCUCGACACUGGUAGAUGCCCGAAGCUUCUUUUGGCACUGCAGUCCACCGCAUGUGACUGACGACAGACGCAAUGAAAGUGAAACCGAUAUCCUGAAAACGUUGAAAACAACGACUGCACCGUUGGAUAUCCAUCGCCAAGAGAAAACUACGGGCAGCCCGGCUCCCUCUCCCGGCUCAGCACGACAAUCUUUUUGGAAUUGAUAGCCAAGUUCCACUCUACUAGUUAACUGUGUCGUUUGACCCCACCACCCUCCACCACCUGCGAAUGUCAACAUUUAUUUCACGCAAGUUAGUUCACCGAAAUCUUGGAAACGGAAGUCGGUGAGCCUAUCGGGCGGAUGCCUUGUGGAUCUCCACGUCGAAUGCGGAUUCAAGUCCAAAAAUUUCCCGAUUGACAGCGUCUUGAGGUUCAACCUGGUGGAGGAUCUCAUUCUCUGGAGACAAGGAUACAGUUCACACUUGGAAGAAACCUUAACGAACGUUUUGAAACCGCAAGAUAUGAUUAAUAUCGACACCAUGAUCUCCGGCAUUUUGGUUUGUUUGUUUUCGAAAAGUUUCGCGAUCCUGGAACACUUUCGCAAUUUCGAAGAAACGUUUGAAAAAUCCGCCAUCAUUUCGACGAUUUUAAGAACUUUAGCGAGAAAGCACGGCCCCUAUUUGGACGUCAUUUCGUGUACGUCGCUCAUGAAAAACUGGUUUUAUCCUAAUAAAAGUUAGUUGUAAAACUGUUAUCAAUUGAUUAUUUAAAAAAAAACGACUUUU